UGCCGAGGAGCGCUGCGACCCUUCCAUUCAAGGGGCCAGGCUCGGCAACGAUCAACGGCGCUCGCA
rnacentral:ncRNA from 1 species